UGGAGUAUAAUAUAAUAAGGUUGGGCGACUUUUUAUAUAUACACCAAAUAAUGAUUUGAAAUGAAAUUAAAAAUCAUGCAAAAUGCAAAUCAUAACCUGGAAUAAGUAUGGUAAAAACAAUUGGUAAAAACAAAUGUUAAAAUGUAUUUUAAGAAUUUGACAAAACACAAAUAAAUUUAACAAGAUAUUGGUAAAGGUAAAUAUUGUUGGCAAAUAUUA